CUACGGGUCGCUCCAGUGAGGAAUAUUGCACAAUGGGGGGAACCCUGAUGCAGCAACGCCGCGUGGAGGAUGACGCAUUUCGGUGUGUAAACUCCUUUUAUAUGUCAAGAAAAUGACGGUAGCAUAUGAAUAAGCACCGGCUAACUCCGUGCCAGCAGCCGCGGUAAUACGGAGGGUGCAAGCGUUACUCGGAAUCACUGGGCGUAAAGGACGCGUAGGCGGGUUGGAAAGUCAGGUGUGAAAUCCUACAGCUUAACUGUAGAACUGCACUUGAAACUUCUAAUCUAGAGUAUGGGAGGGGGAGAUGGAAUUAGUGGUGUAGGGGUAAAAUCCGUAGAUAUCACUAGGAAUACCUAAAGCGAAGGCGAUCUCCUGGAACAUUACUGACGCUAAGGCGUGAAGGCGUGGGAAGCAAACAGGAUUAGAUACCCCGGUAGUC
rnacentral:rRNA from 1 species